rnacentral:rRNA from 1 species
ACGCCUUAUACAUGCAAGUCGAACGAAGUAGCAAUACUUAGUGGCAGACGGGUGAGUAACAUGUAGGUAUCUGCCCUUUGGCCUGGAAUAACACGAGGAAACUUGUGCUAAUACUGGAUAAGUCUUUACGGAGAAAGCUUUAUGCACCAUUGGAUGAGCCUGCACUUGAUUAGUUUGUUGGUGGGGUAAUGGCCUACCAAGACUAUGAUCAAUAGCUGAUUUGAGAGGAUGAUCAGCCACAUUGGAACUGAGACACGGUCCAAACUCCUACGGGAGGCAGCAGUAGGGAAUCUUGCACAAUGGAGGAAACUCUGAUGCAGCGAUGCCGCGUGAGUGAAGAAGGCCUUUGGGUUGUAAAGCUCUUUCGUCGGGGAAGAAAAUGACUGUACCCGAAUAAGAAGGUCCGGCUAACUUCGUGCCAGCAGCCGCGGUAAUACGAAGGGACCUAGCGUAGUUCGGAAUUACUGGGCUUAAAGAGUUCGUAGGUGGUUAAAAAAGUUGGUGGUGAAAUCCCAGAGCUUAACUCUGGAACUGCCAUCAAAACUUUUUAGCUAGAGUAUGGUAGAGGAAAGCAGAAUUUCUAGUGUAGAGGUGAAAUUCGUAGAUAUUAGAAAGAAUACCGAUUGCGAAGGCAGCUUUCUGGAUCAUUACUGACACUGAGGAACGAAAGCAUGGGUAGCGAAGAGGAUUAGAUACCCUCGUAGUCCAUGCCGUAAACGAUGUGUGUUAGACGUUGGAAAUUUAUUUUCAGUGUCGCAGCGAAAGCAAUAAACACACCGCCUGGGGAGUACGAC